UUCAUAUUUUAAUUUACAGGUGCCCGCAAGGGAGAAUAGGGAAUCAGGUGAGAUUCCUGGACGGACCCGCCACUGUAAGGGGAAGCUGUUGCUAAUGCCACUCCGUUUAGGGGGAAGGGGCAAUGAAGCGAUGAACCUGAGUCAGGAGACCUGCCUGUAGAAUUACCAUGCU
rnacentral:ncRNA from 2 species